rnacentral:rRNA from 1 species
AUUGAACGCUGGCGGCAUGCCUUACACAUGCAAGUCGAACGGCAGCACGGGUGCUUGCACCUGGUGGCGAGUGGCGAACGGGUGAGUAAUACAUCGGAGCGUACCUUAUCGUGGGGGAUAACGCAGCGAAAGCUGUGCUAAUACCGCAUACGCCCUGAGGGGGAAAGCGGGGGAUCGCCAGACCUCGCGCGCUUAGAGCGGCCGAUGCCUGAUUAGCUUGUUGGUGGGGUAAAAGCCCACCAAGGCGACGAUCAGUAGCUGGUCUGAGAGGACGAUCAGCCACACUGGGACUGAGACACGGCCCAGACUCCUACGGGAGGCAGCAGUGGGGAAUUUUGGACAAUGGGGGCAACCCUGAUCCAGCAAUGCCGCGUGAGUGAAGAAGGCCUUCGGGUUGUAAAGCUCUUUUGUCAGGGAAGAAACACCGGCUCUAACACAGUCCGGGAAUGACGGUACCUGAAGAAUAAGCACCGGCUAACUACGUGCCAGCCGCCGCGGUAA